AACGAACGCUGGCGGUAUGCUUAACACAUGCAAGUCGUACGUGAAAGUGGACUUCGGUCCGCGAGUAAAGUGGCGCACGGGUGAGUAACACGUGGAUAAUCUACCCGGUGGUUAGGGAUAACAUCUCGAAAGGGGUGCUAAUACCAAAUAAGCCCACGACAUCUUCGGAUGACGCGGGAAAAGGGGGCUUCGGCUCCUGUCACCGGAUGAGUCCGCGGCCCAUUAGCUAGUUGGUGGGGUAAUGGCCCACCAAGGCUACGAUGGGUAGCUGGUCUGAGAGGAUGAUCAGCCACACUGGAACUGAGACACGGUCCAGACACCUACGGGAGGCAG
rnacentral:rRNA from 1 species